rnacentral:rRNA from 1 species
UACGUAGGGUGCAGGCGUUAAUCGGAAUUACUGGGCGUAAAGCGUGCGCAGGCGGUUUGUUAAGACAGGUGUGAAAUCCCCGGGCUUAACCUGGGAACUGCGCUUGUAACUGGCAGACUGGAGUGUGGCAGAGGGGGGUGGAAUUCCAAGUGUAGCAGUGAAAUGCGUAGAUAUUUGGAGGAACACCGAUGGCGAAGGCAGCCCCCUGGGUCAACACUGACGCUCAUGCACGAAAGCGUGGGGAGCAAAC